rnacentral:rRNA from 1 species
UACAGAGGGUGCGAGCGUUAAUCGGAAUUACUGGGCGUAAAGCGCACGUAGGCGGCCUUCUAAGUCGAACGUGAAAUCCCCGGGCUCAACCCGGGAACUGCGUCCGAUACUGGAAGGCUUGAAUCCGGGAGAGGGAUGUGGAAUUCCAGGUGUAGCGGUGAAAUGCGUAGAUAUCUGGAGGAACACCGGUGGCGAAGGCGACAUCCUGGACCGGUAUUGACGCUGAGGCGCGAAAGCCAGGGGAGCAAACGGG